GCAUUGGUAGUUCAAUGGCAGAGUUCUUGCCUUGCUUGCAGGGGACCUGGGUUUGAUUUCCCACCAAUGCA
rnacentral:tRNA from 1 species